rnacentral:rRNA from 1 species
CCGCACCUACGGGAGGCAGCAGUGGGGAAUAUUGCACAAUGGGGGAAACCCUGAUGCAGCGACGCCGCGUGAGCGAAGAAGUAUUUCGGUAUGUAAAGCUCUAUCAGCAGGGAGGAAGAAGGAUGGUACCUGAGUAAGAAGCCCCGGCUAACUACGUGCCAGCAGCCGCGGUAAUACGUAGGGGGCAAGCGUUAUCCGGAUUUAUUGGGUGUAAAGGGAGCGUAGACGGCGAAGAAAGUCUGAAGUGAAAGCCCGCGGCUCAACCGCGGAAUGGCUUUGGAAACUUUUUUGCUGGAGUACCGGAG